rnacentral:rRNA from 1 species
AGGCCUAACACAUGCAAGUCGAACGGCAGCCGGGAGCAAUCCUGGUGGCGAGUGGCGAACGGGUGAGUUAUAUAUCGGAACGUGCUCAGUCGUGGGGGAUAACGCGCGAAACUGUGCUAAUACCGCAUACGAUCUACGGAUGAAAGCGGGGGAUCGCAAGACCUCGCGCGAUUGGAGCGGCCGAUAUCAGAUUAGGUAGUUGGUGGGGUAAAAGCCCACCAAGCCGACGAUCUGUAGCUGGUCUGAGAGGACGACCAGCCACACUGGAACUGAGACACGGUCCAGACUCCUACGGGAGGCAGCAGUGGGGAAUUUUGGACAAUGGGCGCAACCUCGAUCCAGCAAUGCCGCGUGCAGGAUGAAGGCCUUCGGGUUGUAAACUGCUUUUGUACGGAACGAAACGGCUCUUUCUAAUAAAGAGGGCUAAUGACGGUACCGUAAGAAUAAGCACCGGCUAACUACGUGCCAGCAGCCGCGGUAAUACGUAGGGUGCGAGCGUUAAUCGGAAUUACUGGGCGUAAAGCGUGCGCAGGCGGUUAUAUAAGACAGAUGGAAAUCCCCGGGCUCAACCUGGGACCUGCAUUUGUGACUGUAUAGCUAGAGUACGGUAGAGGGGGAUGGAAUUCCGCGUGUAGCAGUGAAAUGCGUAGAUAUGCGGAGGAACACCGAUGGCGAAGGCAAUCCCCUGGACCUGUACUGACGCUCAUGCACGAAAGCGUGGGGAGCAAACAGGAUUAGAUACCCUGGUAGUCCACGCCCUAAACGAUGUCAACUGGUUGUUGGGUCUUCACUGACUCAGUAACGAGCUAACGCGUGAAGUUGACCGCCUGGGGAGUACGGCCGCAAGGUUGAAACUCAAAGGUAUUGACGGGGACCCGCACAAGCGGUGGAUGAUGUGGUUUAAUUCGAUGCAACGCGAAAAACCUUACCCACCUUUGACAUGUACGGAAUUUGCCAGAGAUGGCUUAGUGCUCGAAAGAGAGCCGUAACACAGGUGCUGCAUGGCUGUCGUCAGCUCGUGUCGUGAGAUGUUGGGUUAAGUCCCGCAACGAGCGCAACCCUUGUCAUUAGUUGCUACAUUUAGUUGGGCACUCUAAUGAGACUGCCGGUGACAAACCGGAGGAAGGUGGGGAUGACGUCAAGUCCUCAUGGCCCUUAUAGGUGGGGCUACACACGUCAUACAAUGGCUGGUACAAAGGGUUGCCAACCCGCGAGGGGGAGCUAAUCCCAUAAAGCCAGUCGUAGUCCGGAUCGCAGUCUGCAACUCGAUGCGUGAAGUCGGAAUCGCUAGUAAUCGUGGAUCAGAAUGUCACGGUGAAUACGUUCCCGGGUCUUGUACACACCGCCCGUC